rnacentral:tRNA from 1 species
UGGGGUGUGGCCAAGUCGGUUAAGGCACAAGACUUUGACUCUUGGAUCGUGCGUUCGAGUCGCGCCACCCCAGCCA